rnacentral:rRNA from 1 species
CCUACGGGUGGCAGCAGUAGGGAAUAUUGCUCAAUGGGGGAAACCCUGAAGCAGCAACGCCGCGUGGAGGAUGAAGGUUUUCGGAUUUUAAACUCCUUUUGUUAGAGAAGAUAAUGACGGUAUCUAACGAAAAAGCACCGGCUAACUCCGGGAAAGCAGCCGCGGUAAUACGGAGGGUGCAAGCGUUACUCGGAAUCACUGGGCGUAAAGAGCGCGUAGGCGGGAUAGCAAGUCAGAUGUGAAAUCCUAGGGCUUAACCAGAGAACUGCAUUUGAAACUGUUGUUCUAGAGUAUGGGAGAGGUAGGUGGAAUGCAUGGUGUAGGGGUGAAAUCCGUAGAGAUCAUGAGGAAUACUCAUUGCGAAGGCGACCUGCUAGAACAUAACUGACGCUGAUGCGCGAAAGCGUGGGGAGCAAACAGGAUUAGAUACCCCUGUAGUC